CAAACAUGAAAACAGAAUACUUACAGAGUGUAUUCAGAUGUGAAUUCUACACAUGGCUAAUCUACUACAACGUCUUUAAAAUUUAUGAAAUCGUUAAAUUUAUUAUCAACAUAUAUAGCUAUUUAGCUUUAGCUACCAAGAUAAUGUGGCUACAACAAACACUCGAGACACUGAAACAACGUGCGACCAACCGCUUCAACCACUGGCCUACAAUGGUUGGUCGUCGACUUACGAUCACGUUUGGUUACGACAAACCGGUGGUAAGCCGGCCAUGGUAAAUUGCCGUUCCCAAUCUCCAUACCUGAAAGGUCUUUCUUUUGUGUCCAUCCCCUGCGACGUCCUUGGGGUGUGGAGGUAGGGGUAGGCAGCCACCCCCUACUUUCUUUUCGCCGCAGUCCAAGAGACAUGGAUUGAGGAAUGAUUCGAAGGGUGAUGACAUCUAAUGAUGAGUGGAAUUACAACAAUGAGCUUGUCAAGUUAAAAUUAUGAAUUGAUUCCACCACUCAUGGAUUGAUUUUUGG